AGGAAGAAUUCCUUUUGCUCGGAGCCCGAGGAUACGGUCCAUCAUAGCGGGAGACGUCCUGACAGCCCGAGUAUGAGGCAGCUGUUUGUGCUGUGUCCACAGUCAGGAAGAGAAGAGGUGAAUGCUGGCGGCCUGCAGCUUUCUUCGAGGGCAAGACGGACAUCACCCACAGUCAGAAUAACAGUGCACACAGAGCCGGUAUCCUGGGGGACCGUAUGGGUGAGAUAGAUGAUGGAAGUGGAAAUACAAGUGACCUAGAUAUACCCCAACCUCUAGCCCCCUCUCCUCCCUUGGCUUUGGAUCAGUAGCCAAAAGAGCUUUCCUCACUGGAAGGCUCAUCCAUCUGCUUGGCUCCAUUUUGGAGAAGCAAACCUCUUCCACAGUCGCCUCUGUGGACCCACCCCUGGGUUGUAAAGGUCUGGAGAUCAGACUCUUCAUCAUUUCACUGUCCUGGCCCUUAUAACCAUAGCCUAGAGUCUAGUCAAAGAAGGUGCUCAGGGGAGAUUUGCAGAACUGGUCAGCCACACUUUCACCCUUUAGUCAGGUGGGAUCCUGGCCCUCCGUCCUGCUGCAUGCUCACUGCACUCAAGCAAAUGCUUGGGAACAAUGCCAGAUCCUAAGUCAGCGAGGGAGCUGCCUUCUAGUCCUUGGGGCCAAUAUUCCCGGCUCUCCGUGACUCCUGUUAGUGCUCGUGCCUAGCACACGUAGGAGGCCCUGGUAAGUAUUUGCUGGAUUUAAAUGAAAGCUCGAAUAGACUCAAGGAGUAAGUGAAGUCUUUGGCUGACCUCAACUAGGAAGAGACCUUGGACGGAACACACAAGGCCGAGUAUGGAAUUUUGUGUUGUACGAUGCCUCUGGAACCUUCCCUCAUCUCCCUGUGCUUCAGCUUUGUUUCAAGGGGAAGCUAGGAUUUGAGUAGAGUCAACGCUUCAAAACGAACUCCUCCCCACCCCGAUAACAUUUCUCUGCUGGCUCUUGUGACUGCCUCUAAGAAGAUAAAUUGAAUCUGGCAAGAUUUUGACCCAGAGGAAGGCUGCUAGGAAAAGAGAAACAUUUAUAGAAGUAUUUUCAUGAAGCCUGUACACCCCCCCAUGCAGACAUGAACCACAUAAUGAUGUUUCCGUCAGUGAUGGACCCCAUAUACAGCUACACAAGUCCCUAAGACUCCAUCGUCAGCUUCCAUAGUAAAUGGGUUGCUACUUUCUGACCUGACUCCCAUGGAAACUAUAAUGGCCAAGAACAUGAACUUUAGGUCAGAUGUCAGAUUCCAGAUCCAAGUUCUACCAACAGGCUUCAGUUUCCUCAAAGAGUUAUUACCUCAGAGGCUGGUUCGGCGGACCGAGUGAGGCAACCGUGCGCAGCACCGGGCACCUGCCUUUAAUAAGUCAUGCAAUCGAUGCUCACCCCGAUUGUCCAGGAAGCAGAGCAAUCCAGUGCACUGGCAAGAAGCCACUGAUCUGUGGGAAGAACAAAGCGCCGGUCCCGCGCUCUGGCUCCAGAGCCCUGCAAAACCUCGAAAAACACAGUUGUCCUCUGCUCCUUCGUAGACUGCGUUUUAUAUACCCAGCUUCAAAACUACUCAAAGACACACGUGUGACUGUUCUUUCAGAGUAUUUGCUGGAUGUUCGAUGGUUCACGUAUGCAGUGGUCUCUAGAUUCCUCCAUUGGAUGCUUGUUCUCCUGGAAAGAUGGAAGCAAAACCUGGCCUCAACCCUGAAUCUGGAGG